rnacentral:rRNA from 1 species
AACCCACGUAUGUUGAAAAAUGCGGGGAUGACGUGUGGCUAGGGGUGAAAGGCCAAUCAAACCCGGAAAUAGCUGGUUCUCCGCGAAAUCUAUUUAGGUAGAGCGUCUCGUAUUACCCUCGGGGGUAGAGCACUGGAUGGGCUAGGGGGUCGCGAGAUCUACCAAACCUAACCAAACUCCGAAUACCAACGAGUCUUAUCCGGCAGACAGACGGCGGGUGCUAAGGUCCGUCGUCGAAAGGGAAACAGCCCAGACCUCCAGCUAAGGUCCCAAAGGGCAUGUUAAG